rnacentral:rRNA from 1 species
GGACCCGACUGCNANCGGGGUGGCACUAAGCCAUGGGAGUCGCACAUCCCACCGCUGUGGGGUGUGGCGAACGGCUGGGUAACACGUGGCUAACCUACCCUCGGGACGGGGACAACUCCGGGAAACUGGAGCUGAUCCCCGAUAGGUGGGGAGUCCUGGAACGGUUCUCCGCCAAAAAGGACUAGGAGGGUUAACGCUUCUAGUCCGCCCGAGGAUGGGGCUGCGCCCCAUCAGGUAGUUGGCGGGGUAAUGGCCCGCCAAGCCGAUAACGGGUGGGGGCCGUGAGAGCGGGAGCCCCCAGAUGGGCACUGAGACAAGGGCCCAGGCCCUAAGGGGNGCACCAGGCGCGAAACCUCCGCAAUGCGGGNAACCGUGACGGGGCCACCCCGAGUGCCCCCUUUCCGGGGGCUUUUCCCCGCUGUAGGAAGGCGGGGGNAUANGCGGGGNG